GGAGUUCUUGAGCUGUGAAGGUCCAUCUUCUUCCUUCUUCUCCCUUUCAGCCAACCUUCUGCCUCCCUGCGAGCUAGCACUCCCCAGGAAGCUGAUCAUUCCGGAGCUUUGCAUGGACGAGUCAUCGAGGCCGGAUGCUUGUGCGGCUGCGAAGCAUCCUUAAAGGAACCUCCUUCUAAAGUUCGGUAGGGAGCCAACAAUAGUUGAAUCUUUUAAUCGGACGCAGAAGACAAAACAAGGCAUGAGAGGAUAUGUGGAAAAGAGAAGUGAAGCUGUCAUGAUAAAGUAUUCAGCUGAAUACUCCAAAAAAUAUGGUGAUGCCUCCACCUCAGCUGCUCCACCACAUAAUUAUGACUUAUGGUUUGAGGCAACUGGUGUCCCAACUCAUGGCUAUGUCUAUAUAUGGCUUUAGUCCCAUGGAGAAUCUCACUAGAAUUAUUGGGCAAUCAUCAUCCUCUUCCACUUCUACAAAUCAAGAUCCAGAGCUGUACAUGCGUGAAGACUUUCUAGGUAUUCUUGAGCACGAAAAGAAAAAAUGGCAAGAGGAGAUUCUCCAAAAGAUGAGAGAAGAGAUUAGCUUUGGACCAAGGUAUGCAGAUCAGGGGAGUAAUGGUGAUUCUGGUUCUGCUGAUCAUGCUUCAUUAUGAUUGCUUUUGCCUUAGAUGAUAGGUCUUUGCAUUCCUAGGAGGAAGGAAAUCUCUGUUGAUCUCUAUGAUAUACUUUAAGACUUUGAUUUUGAUGGAUUUAGGACAUGUUGAUACCUAUUUUGAAUGACAUGUUAAAUGACUUUUG